CCAGACCGCCAGCUAAGGUCCCAAAGUCAUGGUUAAGUGGGAAACGAUGUGGGAAGGCCCAGACAGCCAGGAUGUUGGCUUAGAAGCAGCCAUCAUUUAAAGAAAGCGUAAUAGCUCACUGGUCGAGUCGGCCUGCGCGGAAGAUGUAACGGGGCUAAACCAUGCACCGAAGCUGCGGCAGCGACGCUUAUGCGUUGUUGGGUAGGGGAGCGUUCUGUAAGCCUGUGAAGGUGUGCUGUGAGGCAUGCUGGAGGUAUCAGAAGUGCGAAUGCUGACAUAAGUAACGAUAAAGCGGGUGAAAAGCCCGCUCGCCGGAAGACCAAGGGUUCCUGUCCAACGUUAAUCGGGGCAGGGUGAGUCGACCCCUAAGGCGAGGCCGAAAGGCGUAGUCGAUGGGAAACAGGUUAAUAUUCCUGUACUUGGUGUUACUGCGAAGGGGGGACGGAGAAGGCUAUGUUGGCCGGGCGACGGUUGUCCCGGUUUAAGCGUGUAGGCUGGUUUUCCAGGCAAAUCCGGAAAAUCAAGGCUGAGGCGUGAUGACGAGGCACUACGGUGCUGAAGCAACAAAUGCCCUGCUUCCAGGAAAAGCCUCUAAGCAUCAGGUAACAUCAAAUCGUACCCCAAACCGACACAGGUGGUCAGGUAGAGAAUACCAAGGCGCUUGAGAGAACUCGGGUGAAGGAACUAGGCAAAAUGGUGCCGUAACUUCGGGAGAAGGCACGCUGAUAUGUAGGUGAAGCGACUUGCUCGUGGAGCUGAAAUCAGUCGAAGAUACCAGCUGGCUGCAACUGUUUAUUAAAAACACAGCACUGUGCAAACACGAAAGUGGACGUAUACGGUGUGACGCCUGCCCGGUGCCGGAAGGUUAAUUGAUGGGGUCAGCGCAAGCGAAGCUCUUGAUCGAAGCCCCGGUAAACGGCGGCCGUAACUAUAACGGUCCUAAGGUAGCGAAAUUCCUUGUCGGGUAAGUUCCGACCUGCACGAAUGGCGUAAUGAUGGCCAGGCUGUCUCCACCCGAGACUCAGUGAAAUUGAACUCGCUGUGAAGAUGCAGUGUACCCGCGGCAAGACGGAAAGACCCCGUGAACCUUUACUAUAGCUUGACACUGAACAUUGAGCCUUGAUGUGUAGGAUAGGUGGGAGGCUUAGAAGUGUGGACGCCAGUCUGCAUGGAGCCGACCUUGAAAUACCACCCUUUAAUGUUUGAUGUUCUAACGUUGACCCGUAAUCCGGGUUGCGGACAGUGUCUGGUGGGUAGUUUGACUGGGGCGGUCUCCUCCUAAAGAGUAACGGAGGAGCACGAAGGUUGGCUAAUCCUGGUCGGACAUCAGGAGGUUAGUGCAAUGGCAUAAGCCAGCUUGACUGCGAGCGUGACGGCGCGAGCAGGUGCGAAAGCAGGUCAUAGUGAUCCG
rnacentral:rRNA from 1 species